CCUUUGUCAGCAUGACGAUGGAAAUGAAAAUGUAAUGUAAUUUCUACAGCACUGUACAGUUUUCCAUGAGGAGAUUGUUCUAUGGUUCCUUUUCUACUUUUUUUGUUCUCUGCAUUUCUGUCUUUUUCUUUCUGAAUCACCRUGGCAUGGUCCAUCAAUAAAUUACAGCAAAAGCAUAAAUGUGAAUUUUGUAGUCUCUUCCCAUGACUAAUCAAUUUGACCAUCUUAUCUGUACAUAGAGAAACUAUAACUUAUUAUUUUGAGUCACUGGUAUGUUAACUGACAGAAUUUUGAGAGCUGAACUAAGRAUUUGUCAAGCAAACAAAUGCUAUUGUUGCUGUUUCUAUAAAUUGUUUUGAGAAAUGUGCUUACUGUUUUGGAAAUGCCAACAAUGACUUGAGAAAUGCACCAAAGUGACUGAGAAAAACUAACAUAGCAUAAAUUGUCUCAGGUGUAUCUAUUUGUUUGCCUGUAUGAAAAGUGUACACAUUUACAGCUUUGUUUCUGYUAGCUUGCAGGAAUUGUAACUUACUUAAAUGUUUGAAGACAACUUAUUGGCCUUCAUGAGACUCAGAUAAAUGGUUGCAGAGGAUCACACCUGUMKUCAACAAACAAAGGUUUAGGAACUACUGAAUUUUCAGUCAGAAAUGAUCACACCGCCUGGUUGAAGUCUCCAUAUGCAAGYCAACAAAGCAGAGAGGAAACACCCGAUUGACAACAUGUGAGUCUCAAUUUCAACCUGUGACUGGGAAGACUACAACCAUCCUGAGCAAAAUCUGAACUCGGUGUCUUGUUACUCUCAACCCAGAACAAGAAUCCUUUUAUCACCRGUUUUUCUUCUACAAUAGGUUAUCUCUUAUGUGGACACAUGCUGGGUUUUUUUUGUUUGUUUUGUUUUCCAGAUCUCAGUAAUACCAUGAGGAAACUGGACAGAAGAUAGAAUUGUUGUUGUUUUUUUUACUAAAUUUUUUAAAUAGAAAUUGUUUCUUUAAGUGGAUUACUCGUAAUCUGUAUUUUUGUUUAAUUUGAAUUUAUUUUCUUUAUAACKUUCUGUAUAGAAAUGCUGACAAGUUACACUUCCUUGUGUGUUGUACUAUAAUUUUUAUGGUAAAAUUCUGGUAAGAACAGUGACCAGUAAUUUACCAUAAGGUUUUUGGGGGUUUUUUUACAAUAAAAUG